rnacentral:rRNA from 1 species
CACCUUUGACAUGUAUGGAAUCCUUUAGAGAUAGAGGAGUGCUCGAAAGAGAGCCAUAACACAGGUGCUGCAUGGCUGUCGUCAGCUCGUGUCGUGAGAUGUUGGGUUAAGUCCCGCAACGAGCGCAACCCUUGUCAUUAGUUGCUACAUUUAGUUUGGCACUCUAAUGAGACUGCCGGUGAUAAACCGGAGGAAGGUGGGGAUGACGUCAAGUCCUCAUGGCCCUUAUAGGG